GAAACGACUGCUAAGACUGGAUAGGAAGAUAAAAGGCAUCUUUUAUCUUUUAAAAGACCUAGUAAUAGGUAUGCUUUAGGAGGGGCUUGCGCCAUAUUAGUUAGUUGGUAGGGUAAUGGCCUACCAAGACGAUGAUGUGUAGCUGGACUGAGAGGUUGAACAGCCACAUUGGGACUGAGACACGGCCCAAACUCCUACGGGAGGCAGCAGUAGGGAAUUUUCGGCAAUGGAGGAAACUCUGACCGAGCAACGCCGCGUGAAUGACGAAGUACUUCGGUAUGUAAAGUUCUUUUAUCAAGGAAGAAAAGCAAAUGGCGAACCAUUUGUUUGCCGGUACUUGAUGAAUAAGCCCCGGCUAAUUAUGUGCCAGCAGCCGCGGCAAGACAUAAGGGGCAAGUGUUAUCCGGAAUUAUCGGGCGUAAAGGGUGCGUAGGCGGUCUAGUAAGUCAGUGGUGUAAUGGCAACGCUUAACGUUGUCCGGCUAUUGAAACUGCUAAACUUGAGUUAGAUAGAGGCGAGUGGAAUUCCAUGUGUAGCGGUAAAAUGCGUAAAUAUAUGGAGGAACACCAGAGGCGUAGGCGGCUCGCUGGGUCUUAACUGACGCUGAGGCACGAAAGCGUGGGGAGCAAACAGGAUUGGAUACCCUGGUAGUCCACGCCGUAAACGAUGAGUACUAAGUGUCGGGUUAAACCGGUACUGAAGUUAACACAUUAAGUACUCCGCCUGAGUAGUACGUACGCAAGUAUGUAACUUAAAGGAAUUGACGGGACUCCGCACAAGCGGUGGAUCAUGUUGUUUAAUUCGAAGAUACCCGAAAAACCUUACCAGGUCUUGACAUGUUUUUGCAAAAUGAUAGUAAUAUCGUGGAGGCUACCAGAAACACAGGUGGUGCAUGGUUGUCGCCAGCUCGUGUCGUGAGAUGUUAGGUUAAGUCCUAAAACGAGCGAAACCCUUAUCGUUAGUUGCCAGCACGUUAUGGUGGGGACUUUAACGAGACUGCCAAUGAUAAAUUGGAGGAAGGUGAGGAUCACGUCAAAUCAGCAUGCCCCUUAUGACCUGGGCUACAAACGUGAUACAAUGGCUGUUACAAAGGGUAGCUGAAACGCAAGUUCUUGGCCAAUCCCCAAAAACAGUCCCAGUCCGGAUUGAAGUCUGCAACUCGACUUCAUGAAGUUGGAAUCGCUAGUAAUCGCGAAUCAGCAUGUCGCGGUGAAUACGUUCUCGGGUUUGUACACACCGCCCGUCA
rnacentral:rRNA from 1 species